GAGGCUACUGACAUGGAUCACACGGCUGACCACACGCUCAUGUGCCAGCCCGUGUGCCACACAUGACCGAUAGACACGCCCAUAUGUCUAGGCCGUGUCAAAAUUGUAGGGUGUACUAACUUUAAAUCAUAGGGUACCCCAGUGGACACACGGUUAUGUAACGUAACCGUGACUUGCGCAUGGCUGAGACAUACGCCCGUGUCUCUGCCCGUGUGGACAAAACAUAGGCCAUUUACAAAGCCAAC
rnacentral:lncRNA from 1 species